AUUGAACGCUGGCGGCAGGCCUAACACAUGCAAGUCGAGCGAGCGGCGGACGGGUGAGUAGUGUCUGGGAAACUGCCUGAUGUAGGGGGAUAACUACUGGAAACGGUAGCUAAUUACGCAUACUAUCAGAUGUGCCCAGAUGGGAUUAUCUAGUAGGUGGGGUAACGGCUCACCUAGGCGACGACCCCUAGCUGGUCUGAGAGGAUGACCAGCCACACUGGAACUGAGACACGGUCCAGACUCCGACGGGAGGCAGCAGUGGGGAAGAUUGCACAAUGGGCGCAAGCAUGAUGCAGCCAUGCCGCGUGUGUGAAGAAGGCCUUCGGGUUGUAAAGCACUUUCAGCGGGGAGGCGUUACCCGCAGAAGAAGCACCGGCUAACUCCGUGCCAGCAGCCGCGGUAAUUC
rnacentral:rRNA from 1 species